CAGUAGCCACGGUAAUACGGAGGGAGCUAGCGUUGUUCGGAAUUACUGGGCGUAAAGCGCGCGUAGGCGGUUACUCAAGUCAGAGGUGAAAGCCCGGGGCUCAACCCCGGAACUGCCUUUGAAACUAGGUGACUAGAAUCUUGGAGAGGUCAGUGGAAUUCCGAGUGUAGAGGUGAAAUUCGUAGAUAUUCGGAAGAACACCAGUGGCGAAGGCGACUGACUGGACAAGUAUUGACGCUGAGGUGCGAAAGCGUGGGGAGCAAACAGGAUUAGAUACCCCGGUAGUCCCUGUCUCUUAUAC
rnacentral:rRNA from 1 species